UAAGGGCGCACGGUGGAUGCCUUGGCACUAGAAGCCGAUGAAGGACGUUACUAACGACGAUAUGCUUUGGGGAGCUGUAAGUAAGCUUUGAUCCAGAGAUUUCCGAAUGGGGAAACCCAGCAUGAGUUAUGUCAUGUUAUCGAUAUGUGAAUACAUAGCAUAUCAGAAGGCACACCCGGAGAACUGAAACAUCUUAGUACCCGGAGGAAGAGAAAGAAAAUUCGAUUCCCUUAGUAGCGGCGAGCGAAACGGGAAGAGCCCAAACCAACAAGCUUGCUUGUUGGGGUUGUAGGACACUCUAUACGGAGUUACAAAGGACGACAUUAGACGAAUCAUCUGGAAAGAUGAAUCAAAGAAGGUAAUAAUCCUGUAGUCGAAAAUGUUGUCUCUCUUGAGUGGAUCCUGAGUACGACGGAGCACGUGAAAUUCCGUCGGAAUCUGGGAGGACCAUCUCCUAAGGCUAAAUACUCUCUAGUGACCGAUAGUGAACCAGUACCGUGAGGGAAAGGUGAAAAGCACCCCGGGAGGGGAGUGAAAUAGAACCUGAAACCGUGUGCUUACAAGUAGUCAGAGCCCGUUAAUGGGUGA
rnacentral:rRNA from 1 species